UCCCGACAAAGCCAACUCUCUCGAAAGGAGGGACGGAAAGCGGCGGGUCUUAUUCACUAAGAUGGCCGAGCUGCCGAA
rnacentral:ncRNA from 1 species